rnacentral:sRNA from 1 species
UAUUCUGCCCUACGGGGAAGGAUGAGAAGCUUCGACUAAGGUUCGACUCGAGCGUAGCGAGAGAACGUUGCCGCAGGCAA